rfam:Nicotiana sylvestris Nsyl_contig148292, whole genome shotgun sequence.
GAGCAAGGGCGUCUUCCAAAAAUGACGAACGCUUGCAUUGAAGGUUGGCGAUAUUUAGAAAAAGCGAUUCUCCGUGCCUUUCAGAUUUUAUUUUCGUUUUGAUUACGGCCUCGAACAAGUCGCUACAUU